CCCUGAAAGAAACCCUGAAGUUCUUCUCUUCACCAUGAUGAUGAAAACACCAGCAUCCUUGAAAAGCAGUGCAAUAGCCAUUGCCAUAGGACACAGAUAAGUUUGGGAGAUUUUGGUCUUGAGAUGGACUUCCAGAUGGCAAAGUGGUCUCUUGAAAUGGCAGAGACCAAAUAGCAGUGCUACUAACCACACACAAGAAAACAAGAGAGAGUUGCCUUUUAACGCACAUAUCUGAAGAACAGGAUCCUUUGACCUAUUCAUCUGACGAUGUUAACCAACCCCCACUUCUGGAAUAAAUCCCACUUUGUAAGAUACAGGUGGGCUAGGGAUCAGGAUGAUGCAGAGAGAAUUCCAGAAGAAUGUUUACCAAAAUGUUCUAUAGCGAUUAUAUCUUGGUGUUGGGGUUUCAAGUGCUUUUAACUUUCUUAUUUUAUGCUCUUUUACUACUGAUUAAUUUUUGUUUUAUAUC